rnacentral:rRNA from 1 species
AUACGUAGGGAGCGAGCGUUGUCCGGAAUUACUGGGUGUAAAGGGAGCGUAGGCGGGACGGCAAGUCAGAUGUGAAAUACAUGGGCUCAACCCAUGGGCUGCAUUUGAAACUGCUGUUCUUGAGUGAAGUAGAGGUAAGCGGAAUUCCUGGUGUAGCGGUGAAAUGCGUAGAUAUCAGGAGGAACACCGGUGGCGAAGGCGGCUUACUGGGCUUUUACUGACGCUGAGGCUCGAAAGCGUGGGGAGCGAACAGGAUUAGAUACCCUGGUAGUCCACGCUGUAAACGAUGAUCACUAGGUGUGGGGGGACUGACCCCUUCCGUGCCGCAGUUAACACAAUAAGUGAUCCACCUGGGGAGUACGGCCGCAAGGUUGAAACUCAAAUGAAUUGACGGGG